CGGGGAAUUUUGGACAAUGGGCGAAAGCCUGAUCCAGCAAUGCCGCGUGUGUGAAGAAGGCCUUCGGGUUGUAAAGCACUUUUGUCCGGAAAGAAAUCCUUGGCUCUAAUACAGUCGGGGGAUGACGGUACCGGAAGAAUAAGCACCGGCUAACUACGUGCCAGCAGCCGCGGUAAUACGUAGGGUGCAAGCGUUAAUCGGAAUUACUGGGCGUAAAGCGUGCGCAGGCGGUUUGCUAAGACCGAUGUGAAAUCCCCGGGCUCAACCUGGGAACUGCAUUGGUGACUGGCAGGCUAGAGUAUGGCAGAGGGGGGUAGAAUUCCACGUGUAGCAGUGAAAUGCGUAGAGAUGUGGAGGAAUACCGAUGGCGAAGGCAGCCCCCUGGGCCAAUACUGACGCUCAUGCACGAAAGCGUGGGGAGCAAACAGGAUUAGAUACCCCUGGUAGUCCACGCCCUAAAACGAUGUCAACUAGUUGUUGGGGAUUCAUUUCCUUAGUAACGUAGCUAACGCGUGAAGUUGACCGCCUGGGGAGUACGGUCGCAAGAUUAAAACUCAAAUGAAUUGACGGGGUCAUAGCUGUUUCCCU
rnacentral:rRNA from 1 species